UGUAUUUACAUAUCAGAUGUCUGCUAACUAGUACAUAAGCUAUUGUUUAGAGUUAUGUAAAUAAAAAAAAUGUAAACAUAGUUCUUAAUAAUACUUUUAUGAGAAAUAGAAAUUGUGGGGUACUGAAAACAUUUGGUAAAAAUUUAAAAGCACAUCUGGUAUUUUCACAUAAUUUUAUGAAUGUAAUAUAAUAAAUUAUUUUUGUUUUACAUCAAGAGUUACUCUAGAAGCCAUCAUUGGAAAAAGAAUAUGUUGUUAGAUGCUUUGGAACAUUCUUGUGACAAUUGUGUGUUUGACUAGAUACAAUGGAAAGGACAUUUCAUUAAAUGAAUAAAAUGGAUUCAGUGAACUGAUCAGCACAAAAACCUAUAGUGAAAAGCAGAUAAAAGUAGCCAUGGUAGCAGCUCCAAGGAAGAUGGUUACAUAAAUCUUCAACCAAGUCUGAGGCUUUUCCAUGGAAAUAAGAAGGUACUUUCUGUGAGAUGUUUUCAUGGUGUGGGAGUAAGGCUUGGUGGUCUAAUAUAGCUUAUAUGUAGAUUAGCAUCAGCUUGUCUGUAAGGAUUGAGGCUGAGAAUGGCCUUUGGAGCUGACUAAUAUGGCGACUUCAACUGUGGCUGCAGGAAAUUAUUGUGCAAUACAACUGAAACCAAAAAGAAUGUAAUUCAGACUAUUUUUGUGUACGCUUGAAAAAAUGUUUAUAAUUUUUUACCAAAAAAAAAGAAAAUGAAAAAUUGUAAAGAUUCUCCAUUUUCAACAAAUCUGGAAGUUGUAGGCUAAACUGAUGCUUCAUAAUUUUACUAAAUUACUUAUAUACCUACUUAAGAUAUCUUAAUGAUGGUCUUUGUAUAUUCAAA